rnacentral:rRNA from 1 species
AGUGGGGAAUAUUGGACAAUGGGCGCAAGCCUGAUCCAGCCAUGCCGCGUGUGUGAAGAAGGCCUUCGGGUUGUAAAGCACUUUUGUUGGGGAAGAAACCGACCGGAUUAAUACUUCGGUUGAAUGACGGUACCCAAAGAAUAAGCACCGGCUAACUUCGUGCCAGCAGCCGCGGUAAUACGAAGGGUGCAAGCGUUACUCGGAAUUACUGGGCGUAAAGCGUGCGUAGGCGGUUCGUUAAGUCUGCUGUGAAAGCCCUGGGCUCAACCUGGGAACUGCAGUGGAUACUGGCGAGCUAGAGUGUGUCAGAGGAUGGUGGAAUUCCCGGUGUAGCGGUGAAGUGCGUAGAGAUCGGGAGGAACACCAGUGGCGAAGGCGGCCAUCUGGGACAACACUGACGCUGAGGCACGAAAGCGUGGGGAGCAAACAGGAUUAGAUACCCUGGUAGUCCACGCCCUAAACGAUGCGAACUGGACGUUGGGCACACUUAGGUGCUCAGUGUCGAAGCUAACGCGUUAAGUUCGCCGCCUGGGGAGUACGGUCGC